CGAUUCUAAGCCAUGCGAGUCAAAUGUUCUUCGUGAACAUGGCGUACUGCUCAGUAACACGUGGAUAACCUGCCUUAGGACUGGCAUAACCCCGGGAAACUGGGGAUAAUUCCGGAUAGUUCAUGGUAGCUGGAAUGCUCCAUGAUCGAAAGCUAUUGCGCCUAAGGAUGGGUCUGCGGUCUAUCAGGUAGUAGUGGGUGUAAUGUACCUACUAGCCGACGACGGAUACGGGUUGUGGGAGCAAGAGCCCGGAGAUGGAUUCUGAGACAUGAAUCCAGGCCCUACGGGGCGCAGCAGGCGCGAAAACUUUACAAUGCGGGAAACCGCGAUAAGGGGACACCGAGUGCCAGCAUCUUAUGUUGGCUGUCCGCAUGUAUAAAUCACAUGUGUUAGCAAGGGCCGGGCAAGACCGGUGCCAGCCGCCGCGGUAACACCGGCGGCCCGAGUGGUGGCCACUAUUAUUGGGUCUAAAGGGUCCGUAGCCGGUUUGGUCAGUCUUCCGGGAAAUCUGACGGCUUAACCGUUAGGCUUUCGGGGGAUACUACCAGGCUUAGGACCGGGAGAGGUAAGAGGUACUACGGGGGUAGGAGUGAAAUCUUGUAAUCCUCGUGGGACCACCAGUGGCGAAGGCGUCUUACCAGAACGGGUCCGACGGUGAGGGACGAAAGCUGGGGGCACGAACCGGAUUAGAUACCCGGGUAGUCCCAGCCGUAAACUAUGCUCGCUAGGUGUCAGGGACGGUGCGACCGUUUCUGGUGCCGCAGGGAAGCCGUGAAGCGAGCCACCUGGGAAGUACGGUCGCAAGGCUGAAACUUAAAGGAAUUGGCGGGGGAGCACUACAACGGGUGGAGCCUGCGGUUUAAUUGGACUCAACGCCGGAAAACUCACCGGGGGCGACAGCAAUAUGUAGGUCAAGCUAAAGACUCCACCCCGA
rnacentral:rRNA from 1 species